UCGCGUGAUCCUUGACACCUUGGCUGCAGCUGCAGGGAGCUCCUUGGGAAAUUCUCCAAUGGCACGCAAGGUAUCACCGGGGCUCAGCCGUCCCUGUUCCCGCGAGGGGAAAAUGAGCAGAAGGUCUCUCUGCAUCCGCGCUGUGCUAUCUGAAUGUCGCCAUCGCGCGCGCGGGAGAGUUUCUUGACGCCUCUACCGGAGCCCGGAGGUGGUCAGCUCACUGGAAUGCAAAUAUGCAAUACGCCAAUACAAGCUGUACAUGAAGUCUGAAAGGGAAGAGACAAUGGAACAGAAAUGACAAACAAUAAAGUUAAGGGAUCAGUGGCCUAAUAUGCUUGCCCAGAUGACAGAUGAGUGGUUUGGCUCAUUGCCUUGUUUGGUUAGAUUCUUUUUUCCUCAGAUUACUAUUUUAAUGUGCAUUAUUUGGUACAAACUAAAGAGAGGGAGCCAAUCAAAUCAUACUAUCUUUAUUUGGUUAGAUUCUUUUUUCCUCAGAUUACUUUUUUAAUGUGUAUGCUCCCUUUUUUCUGUAAAGCAUACUACUUCUAUACUCCUGAUACUCAACUCAGUUUUUUCUUUCUCAAAGAGCAUGUAGUGGCACUUUCAUUUCUUUUUCGUCAAUAAUACACAAGUACAAUCAUUAGGUUGCAACAUAAAUAAGUGCAAUUAUUUUUUAACUUGGCAGUACAAAAAGGCCAUUUAACUAUGACUUGACAUCACUAGAUGUGCAUUUUAAUUAAUAAUCAAACAAAACAACAAAGAAUGUGCCAUAAAUAUAUUUUGAACAGGACAUAUGGGCCAGCUAGCUAGACGAAACACCCAUUCAGCGGUGUGGUUGGGUCAUGCUACUGCGUGUCAUUGACCUGAUCAACUCCGAAUGUACCCAGGGACAAGCCUAGUUAAUAAAGCUCUCUCUUCACCCGCAAAAAAAA